UGCCAGCAGCCGCGGUAAUACGGGGGGUGCAAGCGUUAUUCGGAUUUACUGGGCGUAAAGAGCGCGUAGGCGGUCUCUUAAGUCAGGUGUGAAAGCCCGGGGCUCAACCCCGGAAGUGCACUUGAAACUAAGGGACUUGAGUAUGGGAGAGGGAAGUGGAAUUCCUGGUGUAGCGGUGAAAUGCGUAGAUAUCAGGAGGAACACCGGUGGCGAAGGCGACUUCCUGGACCAAUACUGACGCUGAGGCCCGCAAGCUAGGGGCGCAAACAGGAUUAGAUA
rnacentral:rRNA from 1 species